AUGGCAACCCACUCCAAUAUUCUUGCCUAGAGAAUCCCAUGGACAGAGGGCCCUGACAGGUUGCAGUCGAUGGGGUCUCAAAGAGUUGGACAUGACAAAGCGACAAACGCUUUUUUCUCUGUAUACUUGAACAUUGUUAUCUGGGAGGUAACGCUAAACUUUAGUUCUUAGGAUUAAUAACACUUUUGUGGGGGAGAGACAAGUAAUUAACCAUACUUGCUCAUUUCCUAAGUGGUUUAGAAGGUUGCUAUCUGCUUCACCGUACAUACGAAGCCAAUUGAAAUAUGAAUAUAUCACAGUCAUACUCCAAACAGCAAACAAGCUCAGAGGAAAGUCAUUUAUUCAGAAGGCAUAGAUUUGUGCUAGACAGCAGUGAUGCAUUACAAAUAUAUAAUUAUUUUCACUAAUAUUUGAGCAGGUGGAAUGGAUUAGAACAUGGUCAACAUUAUGCUGCUGAUAACAUGUAUUUUUCUAUAUUAAUAUGUACUGUGCAACAUGUAUUAAAAUUGUCAAUAAUUCAUUUUAGCCGAGAUACUAAUAUUUAUAUUACAGUGUUGAAGAGACAGUAUCCAACUGAGCCACUUUUAAUUUAAAAGUCUGAAACUGGAAUUAAGUUUACUUUCAAAAACCACUUAAAUUACUUUAUAAUCACUGGAAGGUCAAUAAAACAGAAUUAUCAAUGACUGGUCACUUAAUAGGAAGAAGUAUAGAAAGUUAAGAAUAUGGAUAAGAAUCUGGAAUAAGUUAAAUUUCAUUUAUAGCUCAGAUGAGUUAUCUCCUUUUGUUUUCACCAUUGGUAAUCUUAAAUGAAGGAAAAUGUCUUUUUCCCAGAGCAUCUUCACAUUAAUAAACUAAGUCUGAAGAUUGGAUGGAACCAACUCCGAGGAAUCUUCAGCGCACCUAUGAACAUGUCACUAUCCUAACAGGAAGAGGGUGUGAGUAUGUGUCUUCAAGAUUCUGAAAAUCCUAUGUGAAAAGAAUUAUCUGAGUGAAUUAAUGACAUAAAACAAACAGUUUUGAAGAACAUGUAUGUUCACAGUGGACCCAGGAAGGAGCUGGACAGAAGAGUUCAUCAUAAUUAAAAUUGUUUUUUAGGGUUAUAUAUCUCCUAGAAUUCCUUUAUCAACUCUUUAAUAGGAAUCUAUUGAUUAGUUUUUUGGUUUUUAAGGAAAAAAUUUUGAAACAAUCUCUGACUUACAGAAAGGUUUUAAAUAUUGUACAAAUAAAAUUUUUCCACUUUGAGAGUAAGUUGCUGUCAUGAUGCCCCAUUACCCUGUAAUACUUUUUUAUUUCCAACAAGAAGAAAUUCUCCUAUAUAGUCAUAAUACAGUUAUCAAAAUCAGGAAAUUAACAUUGAUAUGUUACUCCCAUCUAACCCUAAGACCCCUUUCAAGUUUCACUGAUUGUCCCAAUAAUGAUUUAUAAGGAUCCACUUUAAAAUCAUGUGGUGUUUUAGGUUGUAAUAUCUCUACUUUCUUCCACUCUGGAAUGGUUUCUUACUUAGUCUUUCCUUGAUUUUUGCUACCCUUGACACUUCUGUAGAUUAUAAGCCAGUUAUGUAAAAUGUUCCUAAAUUUGAAUUUAUUUCCUCGUGAAUAGAUUCCAGUUGUGCUUUUUUGGCAGGGAUAUUACAAAAGCAAGUCUGUGUUGUAAUUGCAGCCUAUGAGGUAGUGCACAAUCUCAGUGCACCAUUUCUGAUAAUACUCAUUUUAAUCACUUGCUUAUGUUGCUACCUAUCAGGAUUCUCUACUAUAAAGUUACUUUUUCCCUUUGUAAUAAUUUCGUGAGAAGGUAGUUUGAAACUAUGUAUAUAUCCUGCUCCUAAUCAAAAUUUCAGUGUGAAUGGUUUUCUGGUUAAAAGAUUAUAACCUGUUGCUUAUUUUGAAUCUCAAAUUGUCUCACAUUUGGUUAAUGGGAUCCCCUUCAAGUUGGCUCCUAUCUCCUUUAGACAUGUCAUCAUUUUUUAAGUGCUUUCUUACAUUGGGCACACAGCUUUCUCCAAACUCAUCCUGUAUUUGCCUGCCCCAUAGUUUGAAUCAGCUGUUUCUUCAUCUUUUUAGUGGAAAUUGGUAUUUAGAAACUACAAUUUGUAUAUGAGAUAUGCUUAUAAUUGAGAUGUCUGUGCCACCACUCCUCAGUGGAUGGUGCUAUGGGGCUUUGUGUGUGUAUAUACAGGUAUGUUUUAAAUUUACAUGCACAUACACUCCUAUGUGAUACCCUUUUUACCUCAUUUGAGCUCUAGUACUCCUGUUGUGUUUCCUCCCCCAUGCAAGAGGGGGGCUUCCUCACUUCACUCAGCCUCUGAGGCUUUGGCCAUAGAACAAGGUAGGGGGAAUGAAAACAGUCAUUACAGAAAACAUGUAAAGAUUUAAAAAUUGUAAAUAAAAAUUGUUCAUAAUCGCUUUAUUCAGAAACAACAAA